GCCUUCGUGGUGUAACGGUAGCACACUCGGCUCGUAUCCGAGAGGUCCAGGGUCUAAUCCCGGUAAUGACA
rnacentral:tRNA from 1 species